rnacentral:tRNA from 1 species
GCCCGGGUAGCACAAUUGGUAGUGCACCGACCUUGUAAGUCGGACAGUGCGGGUUCGAGUCCCGCCCCGGGCU